UCAGGACGAACGCUGGCUGCGUGCUUAACACAUGCAAGUCGAACGCUGAAGCCCCAGCUUGCUGGGGUGGAUGAGUGGCGAACGGGUGAGUAACACGUGAGUAACCUGCCCCUGACUUCGGGAUAAGCCCGGGAAACUGGGUCUAAUACCGGAUACGACUGCCGGACGCAUGUCUGGUGGUGGAAAGUUUUUUCGGUUGGGGAUGGGCUCGCGGCCUAUCAGUUUGUUGGUGAGGUAAUGGCUCACCAAGACGACGACGGGUAGCCGGCCUGAGAGGGCGACCGGCCACACUGGGACUGAGACACGGCCCAGACUCCUACGGGAGGCAGCAGUGGGGAAUAUUGCACAAUGGGGGAAACCCUGAUGCAGCGACGCAGCGUGCGGGAUGACGGCCUUCGGGUUGUAAACCGCUUUCAGCAGGGAAGAAGCCUUCGGGUGACGGUACCUGCAGAAGAAGUACCGGCUAACUACGUGCCAGCAGCCGCGGUAAUACGUAGGGUACGAGCGUUGUCCGGAAUUAUUGGGCGUAAAGAGCUCGUAGGUGGUUGGUCACGUCUGCUGUGGAAACGCAACGCUUAACGUUGCGCGUGCAGUGGGUACGGGCUGACUAGAGUGCAGUAGGGGAGUCUGGAAUUCCUGGUGUAGCGGUGAAAUGCGCAGAUAUCAGGAGGAACACCGGUGGCGAAGGCGGGACUCUGGGCUG
rnacentral:rRNA from 1 species